rnacentral:lncRNA from 1 species
UCGAAAUAGGACUCACUUGUUCUGCUGAAUCACCCAAUGAGCGGAUUGACAUGAGUGAUGUUGUUCUCAAACUUUGUUCCAUUAGAGACAAGUUUCAUCCAACUCGAUUAUGUCAUGAGGUUUGAACUUAAAUAAAUUGCCUAGUCGAAAGGUGAGAUAACUUCUUAUCUUAGCAAAAUAUUGAAUCAUUCCAUAACUUAAGGCAUAUUUCCACUACAUUUGGAGAUAAGUGUUAUGUUUAGAUGAUAUGAAGAAGCAAAACAGAUUACCCUGUUUUCAACAUGCAGGUAUCUAAGGUGUCGUAUGGAUGAAGUUGAGAGGCUUGGGUCAGUCAAAGUGUUGGAUUUUAUCUUUUGUUCACAUUCAAUUGGGUAUUAGCAGGUCUCCACAUUUCGCCUAAAAGCACUAUGCUUUGAGAAAAGAGAAUAAAUAUGCAAU